UGAACGCUGGCGGCAUGCCUUACACAUGCAAGUCGAACGGUAACGCGGGGCAACCUGGCGACGAGUGGCGAACGGGUGAGUAAUACAUCGGAACGUGCCCAGUAGUGGGGGAUAGCCCGGCGAAAGCCGGAUUAAUACCGCAUACGAUCUAAGGAUGAAAGCGGGGGAUCGCAAGACCUCGCGCGAUUGGAGCGGCCGAUAUCAGAUUAGGUAGUUGGUAGGGUAAAGGCCUACCAAGCCAACGAUCUGUAGCUGGUCUGAGAGGACGACCAGCCACACUGGAACUGAGACACGGUCCAGACUCCUACGGGAGGCAGCAGUGGGGAAUAUUGGACAAUGGGCGCAAGCCUGAUCCAGCCAUGCCGCGUGUGUGAAGAAGGUCUUCGGAUUGUAAAGCACUUUUGUCCGGUAAAGAAACUCCUUUGGGUUAAUACCUCGGGGGGAUGACGGUACCGGAAGAAUAAGCACCGGCUAACUACGUGCCGGCAG
rnacentral:rRNA from 1 species